GACGAACGCUGGCGGCGUGCUUAACACAUGCAAGUCGAACGAAGUGGCGAACGGGUGAGUAAUACGUGUGUAACUUUCCCUCCUUUUUGGGAUAAGCCAUGGAAACGGGGUCUAAUACCGAAUAAAGGGGGUUGGGCGCGCGGCCUAUAAGCUUGGUGGAGGGGUGAUGGACUCCCAAGGCGGUGACGGGUAGGCGGCCUGAGAGGGUGACCGGCGGCAUUGGGACUGGGCUACGGCCCUGGCUGCGACAGGAGGGGGCAGUGGGGGAUAUUGGGCGAAGGGCGAAAGCCUCAUGCAGCGACGCCGCGUGAGGGAUUAAGGUUUUCGAGUUGUAAACCUCGGGCGCGAUCGAACGGGUAGGUGGAGAAGAAGCGCCGGCUAACUACGUGCCAGCAGCCGCGGUAAUUC
rnacentral:rRNA from 1 species